AGUCGCACGGAUCUUUCGGGAUUAGUGGCGGACGGGUGAGUAACGCGUAGGGAUCUAUCCAUGGGUGGGGGACAACUCCGGGAAACUGGAGCUAAUACCGCAUGAUACCUGAGGGUCAAAGGCGCAAGUCGCCUGUGGAGGAACCUGCGUUCGAUUAGCUAGUUGGUGGGGUAAAGGCCUACCAAGGCGAUGAUCGAUAGCUGGUUUGAGAGGAUGAUCAGCCACACUGGGACUGAGACACGGCCCAGACUCCUACGGGAGGCAGCAGUGGGGAAUAUUGGACAAUGGGCGAAAGCCUGAUCCAGCAAUGCCGCGUGUGUGAAGAAGGUCUUCGGAUUGUAAAGCACUUUCGACGGGGACGAUGAUGACGGUACCCGUAGAAGAAGCCCCGGCUAACUUCGUGCCAGCAGCCGCGGUAAUACGAAGGGGGCUAGCGUUGCUCGGAAUGACUGGGCGUAAAGGGCGCGUAGGCGGUUGAUGCAGUCAGAUGUGAAAUCCCCGGGCUUAACCUGGGAACUGCAUUUGAGACGCAUUGACUAGAGUUCGAGAGAGGGUUGUGGAAUUCCCAGUGUAGAGGUGAAAUUCGUAGAUAUUGGGAAG
rnacentral:rRNA from 1 species